UCACGGGGGUGCUGAGCAAUCGGCUGAGAUUAUACCCAUUGAACCUGAAGCAGGUAAUGCUGGCGCAGGAAAUAUGAUAGAU
rnacentral:ncRNA from 1 species